AUUGUUCCGUUCCCUUCUUCCCCUUAAUAAAUUCUGGAACGCCGAUGGUAUUGCGGCGACAGUCUAUGGUACAACGCGACCUUAUGAAAAUAAAAAUAAACCGUAUACCUUGCACUACAUCACGCACGUGUUGCGUGUUCCGUUUUCCGAGCGCCAUUUUUUUUAGCGUCUUAACCUGCCCCACGGAGUUAUGACAUAGAUAGCCUACUUUGUACCAGGGUCCCAUACACGCAGUAACCGCCGUAACCACAAUUCGCCAAUGCACGGUCAUUAUAAUAUUAUAUACGUGCGUAACGUAACGCCAAGGACGUGGCUAAUACGACUACAGCGCGCAAGGAGAAGUAAAGGGGAGACACAAUUUCGUCACGUAGAUAUUUACAAUGAAACAGAAAAAGAAGCUUACAUUUUGUUUUAUUUCGUUAAGAGGAUUACUACAAUAUAGCAUUAACCGUCUCUUUCUAACGGACGAUGUAGACAAAAUUGCAUUUUCGGUGUUCCUAUGAUGCUUUGGUUCU